AUACCCAAAAAUUAUGAGUAAGGAAAAUAGCGAUUUGGAGUGAUGACUGAAUCCUCACAGUUAAUGUGAGAUAAAUUUUCAAGGGGGCAAAGUUUUCCCCUGAGGUGACCCCCUACUUUGAGGGAUGCAUAGGAGUAGGGAUCUGCCCU